UUGAGUCUAGGUCACAGCUUUGUGGUUUAGUGACUAAUUUCAACAUUCAUUUUCAACCUACUUGAAAAGCACUGUAAGGGUCUACUGCUAAGGCAGCAUAAUGAGCAGUCACAGAACUCUGGACAAAGUAUAAACACGACUGCAAAGAAGCUCAGAGACUUAGCAGAUUGUAGACAAACUGGAUUCGAAGGCCAUUGUCAAUCCAACAAGAGAUGGACAUAAAGUCGUUUGUUGUUAAAAUACUGACACUGAGCAGCUGCUAUUCAAUAGCCUUAUAAUACUGUCAUUGCAUUGCACUGGAAUAAUCACAUGCAUGCACAGCAACUAUACAGGCUACACCAGAUCCUCGGGCAAUCAUCUACUCCUCUGCGUGGCAAUUAACACUUCUUGGGUAAUUUCGACUAUGGCAUGCGAUGGGGGAUUUAGCUGUGUCCUCUGUGUCCCCUGUGUCCUCUGUGUCCGCUGUGUCUUUUGUAUUCGCUGUGUCCUCCGUGUCCUUGUGUGCUGGGUCGCUGGGUCGCUGGACUGCAUCUCCUCACUCUUUGAUUGACUUCAGGUUUUUUGAGGAACGAACUCCCCCCUACCUACCACUCCGGCCCACAGCUGCCUGGUACAUCAUAGAUCUACUUAAUUGUAGAGUUUAUUAACGAUUAAACUGUAGAUUUUUGUUUACUUAAUAAUUAGCAUUGUGUUGUUUGAUGUAAUUAUAAAUUGACAGACAUUCUUAAUACAAGGGUAAUGUGCUAAUUAAUAACUAAU